CAACGUGACAACACAACGAGC
rnacentral:miRNA from 1 species